rnacentral:rRNA from 1 species
UGAGGAUGGCGGACGGGUGAGUAACGCGUAAGGAACUUGCCUCUUGGUCUGGGACAACUGUUGGAAACGACAGCUAAUACCGGAUAUUAUGAGAUUCUCGCAUGGGAAACUUAUGAAAGCUAUAUGCGCCAAGAGAGAGCCUUGCGUUCCAUUAGCUAGUUGGUGGGGUAACGGCCCACCAAGGCGACGAUGGAUAGCCGGCCUGAGAGGGUGAACGGCCACAAGGGGACUGAGACGCGGCCCUUACUCCUACGGGAGGCAGCAGUGGGGAAUAUUGGACAAUGGGCCACAAGCCUGAUCCAGCAAUUCUGUGUGCACGAUGAAGGUCUUCGGAUUGUAAAGUGCUUUCAGUUGGGAAGAAGAAAGUGACGGUACCAACAGAAGAAGCGACGGCUAAAUACGUGCCAGCAGCCGCGGUAAUACGUAUGUCGCAAGCGUUAUCCGGAUUUAUUGGGCGUAAAGCGCGUCUAGGCGGAAAAAUAAGUCUGAUGUUAAAAUGCGGGGCUCAACUCCGUAUUGCGUUGGAAACUGUUUUUCUAGAGUACUGGAGAGGUGGGCGGAACUACAAGUGUAGAGGUGAAAUUCGUAGAUAUUUGUAGGAAUGCCGAUGGAGAAGUCAGCUCACUGGACAGAUACUGACGCUAAAGCGCGAAAGCGUGGGGAGCAAACAGGAUUAGAUACCCUGGUAGUCCACGCCGUAAACGAUGAUCACU